rnacentral:rRNA from 1 species
GACGUAGGAUGCAAGCGUUGUCCGGAUUUAUUGGGCGUAAAGGGUUCGUUAAGUCUGAUGUUAAAGAUCGGGGCUCAACCUCGGGAGUGCAUUGGAUACUGGCAGACUGGAGUGUGGUAGAGGUUAGUGGAAUUCCCAGUGUAGCGGUGAAAUGCGUAGAUAUUGGGAAGAACACCAGUGGCGUAGGCGACUAACUGGGCCAUAACUGACGCUGAGGAACGAAAGCCAGGGGAGCGAAUGGG